UUCCGGUUGAUCCCGCCGGAAGCUACUGCUAUUGGAAUUCGACUAAGCCAUGCGAGUCAAGGUGUCUUCGGACGCCGGCAAACGGCUCAGUAACACGUAGGUAAUCUACCCUCAGGACUGAGAUAACCCCGGGAAACUGGGGCUAAUACCAGAUAGAUAAAAGAUACUGGAAUGUUCUUUUAUCCAAAGCUUUUGUGCCUGAGGAUGAGCCUGCGCCCGAUUAGGUAGUUGGUGGGGUAAUGGCCCACCAAGCCUGCGAUCGGUACGGGCAGUGGGAGCUGUAGCCCGGAGUUGGGGACUGAGACAAGGCCCCAGGCCCUACGGGGCGCAGCAGGCGCGAAACCUCUGCAAUGCGGGAAACCGUGACAGGGGGAUUCCAAGUGCUCAUGCAUUGCAUGGGCUGUUCUUUGGUCUAAGUAACCAGAGGAGUAAGGGCUGGGCAAGACCGGUGCCAGCCGCCGCGGUAAUACCGGCAGCUCGAGUGGUAGCCGCGAUUAUUGGGCCUAAAACGUUCGUAGCCGGAUAAGUAAGUCUUUGGUUAAAUCCUACGACUUAACCGUGGGAAAUCUAGAGAUACUGCUUGCCUUGAGACCGGGAGAGGUUGGAGGUACUCCCAGGGUAGGGGUGAAAUCCUGUAAUCCUGGGGGGACCACCUGUGGCGAAGGCGUCCAACUGGAACGGCUCUGACGGUGAGGGACGAAACCUAGGGGAGCGAGCCGGAUUAGAUACCCGGGUAGUCCUAGGCGUAAAUGAUGCGAGUUAAGUGUGGGGGCAUCUACGAGAUGGCCCUGUGCUGUAGGGUAGCCGUUAAACACGCUGCCUGGGGAGUGCGGUCGCAAGGCUGAAACUUUAAAGGAAUUGGCGGGGGAGCACCACAAGAGGUGGAGGCUGCGGUUCAAUUGGAUUCAACGCCGG
rnacentral:rRNA from 1 species